rnacentral:rRNA from 1 species
AGGAUAAACGCUGGCGGCGUGCCUAACACAUGCAAGUCGAACGUCCUUGCGGUCUUCUUCUUCGGAGGAGGACCGCGAGGGAGUGGCGGACGGGUGAGUAACACAUGGGUACCUGCCUUUCAGUGAGGAAUACCGGCGAGAAAUCGCCGACAAGACCGCAUAGGCUUCCUUCGGUAGCCCGAGGGAAGCAAAGUUACUUCGCGAGAGGUGACGCUGGAAGAGGGGCCUGUGGCCGAUUAGCUAGUUGGGGGGUAACGGCCUCCCAAGGCGACGAUCGGUAGCUGGUCUGAGAGGACGAUCAGCCACACUGGGAUUGAGAACGGCCCAGACUCCUACGGGGGGCAGCAGUGAGGAAUUUUCCGCAAUGGACGAAAGUCUGACGGAGCAACGCCGCGUGCAGGAGGAAGGUUUCGGAUCGUAAACUGCUUUUCUCGGGACGAGCAAGGACGGUACCCGAGGAAGAAGCCCCGGCUAACUACGUGCCAGCAGCCGC